UUGUCGCGUCUGUCGUGAAAGUCCGGGGCUUAACCCCGGAUCUGCGGUGGGUACGGGCAGACUAGAGUGCAGUAGGGGAGACUGGAAUUCCUGGUGUAGCGGUGGAAUGCGCAGAUAUCAGGAGGAACACCGAUGGCGAAGGCAGGUCUCUGGGCUGUAACUGACGCUGAGGAGCGAAAGCAUGGGGAGCGAACAGGAUUAGAUACCCUGGUAGUCCAUGCCGUAAACGUUGGGCACUAGGUGUGGGGACCAUUCCACGGUUUCCGCGCCGCAGCUAACGCAUUAAGUGCCCCGCCUGGGGAGUACGGCCGCAAGGCUAAAACUCAAAGGAAUUGACGGGGGCCCGCACAAGCGGCGGAGCAUGCGGAUUAAUUCGAUGCAACGCGAAGAACCUUACCAAGGCUUGACAUGUUCUCGAUCGCCGUAGAGAUACGGUUUCCCCUUUGGGGCGGGUUCACAGGUGGUGCAUGGUUGUCGUCAGCUCGUGUCGUGAGAUGUUGGGUUAAGUCCCGCAACGAGCGCAACCCUCGUUCCAUGUUGCCAGCACGUCGUGGUGGGGACUCAUGGGAGACUGCCGGGGUCAACUCGGAGGAAGGUGAGGACGACGUCAAAUCAUCAUGCCCCUUAUGUCUUGGGCUUCACGCAUGCUACAAUGGCCGGUACAAUGGGUUGCGAUACUGUGAGGUGGAGCUAAUCCCAAAAAGCCGGUCUCAGUUCGGAUUGGGGUCUGCAACUCGACCCCAUGAAGUCGGAGUCGCUAGUAAUCGCAGAUCAGCAACGCUGCGGUGAAUACGUUCCCGGGCCUUGUACACACCGCCCGUCAAGUCACGAAAGUUGGUAACACCCGAAGCCGG
rnacentral:rRNA from 1 species